rnacentral:rRNA from 1 species
GAUGAACGCUGGCGGCGUGCCUAAUACAUGCAAGUCGAGCGAACAGACGAGGAGCUUGCUCCUCUGACGUUAGCGGCGGACGGGUGAGUAACACGUGGAUAACCUACCUAUAAGACUGGGAUAACUUCGGGAAACCGGAGCUAAUACCGGAUAAUAUAUUGAACCGCAUGGUUCAAUAGUGAAAGACGGUUUUGCUGUCACUUAUAGAUGGAUCCGCGCCGCAUUAGCUAGUUGGUAAGGUAACGGCUUACCAAGGCAACGAUGCGUAGCCGACCUGAGAGGGUGAUCGGCCACACUGGAACUGAGACACGGUCCAGACUCCUACGGGAGGCAGCAGUAGGGAAUCUUCCGCAAUGUGCGAAAGCUUGACGGAGCAACGCCGCGUGAGUGAUGAAGGUCUUCGGAUCGUAAAACUCUGUUAUUAGGGAAGAACAAAUGUGUAAGUAACUAUGCACGUCUUGACGGUACCUAAUCAGAAAGCCACGGCUAACUACGUGC